CAGUAGCCACGGUAAUACGUAGGGUGCAAGCGUUAAUCGGAAUUACUGGGCGUAAAGCGUGCGCAGGCGGUUAUAUAAGACAGAUGUGAAAUCCCCGGGCUCAACCUGGGAACUGCAUUUGUGACUGUAUAGCUAGAGUACGGCAGAGGGGGAUGGAAUUCCGCGUGUAGCAGUGAAAUGCGUAGAUAUGCGGAGGAACACCGAUGGCGAAGGCAAUCCCCUGGGCCUGUACUGACGCUCAUGCACGAAAGCGUGGGGAGCAAACAGGAUUAGAUACCCCAGUAGUCCCUGUCUUUAUACA
rnacentral:rRNA from 1 species